GAAAACAAAAAAAUUCUGAGAAUACAUCACAAAAAAAAAGAAAAAAAAAAGAAGAGGAAGAGAUGGAGAACUUCCAUGGUCUUACGUUGAUCAAUCCAUCGAUCACCGGAUGACAUAUCCGCAUUAAGGUGGUGAGUUCGUUCACCGUGCAUCUUGCCCCACCACAUAAAGCUUUAGGGUUGAUCUUAGCAGACGAAGAGGAAAUGAUGAUUGAGGCUGUGGUUGGGGCCAAAUUCGCUAACUUUUAUGAUGAGUAUAUUGAUGAGGAAGAAUGGUUAACAAUCAACCAUUUUGGUGUGGCUUUUAGCUCAAGCACUUUGAAGGUAACCUCGCAUCCGUAUAAGAUUCGCUUUCUCAAGUACACUGUUGUGAGGAGAAUUAUCGAUUUUCCGAUCACUCUCCGUCGUUUUGCGUCAUUCUCCGAUAUUAUCGGUAACGUAAUCGAUACAUCUGCUUUAUACAUCUGAUACAUCGAUACAUCUAGACUUGGUCUGAGCGAUUUUCGAUGUUGGAGUGUUGGAGAAUGUUGCUUCUAAUCCUAAUGAUGUAAAUGGUAUGAGGAUCUCGUUCAAAGUCAGAGACAAAGAUAAUGAGGUAUUGGAAUGUUUGGCUCUGAAGCAAGAGCCUCUAGAUUUCGAUCAUACUUAUUAUUUGUUCGGUGGUGGAGUUAUUGUUGCGUUACUCAGGCGGUGGAAAGUCGAUCGUUACUUCGAUGGCCCUAAGAAUGUAAGGAUAUGUAGUAGUUACAUAAGUUACAUAAGUUGUAAGUUAUUUGUGAGAUGUAAGUUACAUAAGUUGUGAAACUCUUCGUUUGCAACUUUUAUUUUUUGAGUCAUAUUUAUUGAACUAACUGUCGGGCCAUUUAUUUUGUUGUUUACUUAGGCUCGCUAUAAACGAUGUUUGAAGGUCCCGUUGAUUGGCGAUCUAUGUUUAUUAUCGUUAUUUAUGGAUAUAACCUGCUAGCAAGAACGUUUCGUAUCGUUUUUGAAUCAUUUUGUCGUGACGACAGCUUUAAACGUCACAUUAUCUACUUCUUAUUAUUUGUUUUCUUAAGACAUUUUUUGUUUUGGAUAAUCUUAUUUUGGUUUGUAUAUGUAUCUACGCAUGGUUUGCCA